UUGAGGAAAUUAAUAGAUUAAUGUGUACCUACAACAAUGACAUUGGGAAGAAUUAUUAAAGUUCCUGUGUCUCAAGUUAUAUUUCAUAAAAAUCAGUUUUAUUUCGACCUUUGACUGUUUUGUCUUCUGAAUUUUGACUGGAACGGAAAUUAUUUCAAGAUCGGAGCAAAAACCGCUAAAAAAAAGGAUCAUAUUAUAAGCUUUGCUGGGACAGGCUUGCUGGAGGGAGGCACUACUUGAAACGAAGCCUUCAGAAUUUUCACAUGGUUCAGACAGUUUCUUAAAGAAUUGGGCGUAGCGGCAUGAAAAUUCCCCGUACUUGAGCACCAGGGAAUAUAUGGAUCAAAUCGUUCGUAAUAAAAAUGAGCCUCUACUGACCAGUUUUGAGGUUAUUCCUAGCGACGAGUAAAUCGGUUUUCCAAAAACAAAUUCAGCAUUUGGGACUGAAGCUGAUGCAAGCCAUCUUUGUUUAGCAAACGGCAACUGGACAGUAAUGUAGCUUCUUCAAAGAGGCCAUCGGGAAAGGCUAGGUUAAACUUUACUUAGCUCAAGUAUCAGAGUUUUCAAGCAAUCAGAUCCAGAUAAGG